AGUGAACGCUGGCGGUGGGCCUAACACAUGCAAGUCGAACGGCAGCACAGUAAGAGCCUGCUCUUACGGGUGGCGAGUGGCGGACGGGUGAGGAAUACAUCGGAAUCUACUUUUUCGUGGGGGAUAACGUAGGGAAACUUACGCUAAUACCGCAUACGACCUACGGGUGAAAGCAGGGGAUCUUCGGACCUUGCGCGAUUGAAUGAGCCGAUGUCGGAUUAGCUAGUUGGCGGGGUAAAGGCCCACCGAGGCGACGAUCCGUAGCUGGUCUGAGAGGAUGAUCAGCCACACUGGAACUGAGACACGGUCCAGACUCCUACGGGAGGCAGCAGUGGGGAAUAUUGGACAAUGGGCGCAAGCCUGAUCCAGCCAUACCGCGUGGGUGAAGAAGGCCUUCGGGUUGUAAAGCCCUUUUGUUGGGAAAGAAAAGCAGCAGGUUAAUACCCCGCUGUUCUGACGGUACCCAAAGAAUAAGCACCGGCUAACUUCGUG
rnacentral:rRNA from 1 species